rnacentral:ncRNA from 2 species
AAUGUGGAUAGAGGCGCGAGAGCUAUCAGUAGGGUAUUGGAUGUGUUUACGAGCACAGUUGAAAGUAUUUGAAAGGGGUUAUCGCCGAAGUGGGGGACGUUCGUUAAUGAACCUGCUGGUGUGUUGUAUAAGAUAUAACACAUUGUCAAGAAGUCUUGGAGGGCUAUUCUCAUU